UGCAAAGCCUGUUGGUCUGAGCUGCCAGGGGGGUAGGGCUGUGGGGAGGGGUCCCAAGCUGCUGCAUUAUGUGACUGAGGAUCAGCUGGGUGGGGGAGACAAUCUGGCAGUGCUGGGGUCUGAGAGUUGUGUGUCUGGGAUCCGUGCUGGUACUGUGGUUUUUAAAUGCAUGGUCAGGCCCCAGAGCUUGGGAUGGUGCCUAUCACCAUGGAGGUUUAUUAAAUAUCACUGGCCUCCCAGUAACAGUUAGAGACCCCAGCUGCGUGCAGGACCCAGAGUGCCUGGUGCUCAAUGCGCACAGAAUACACAGCAGCUGCCCCAAUGUGAUCGCAAUCUAAACUGCCAAAGGGUGGGUGGGGAAAUGGAGGCAGGUGAAGUGACUUGCCUAUGGUCAUACAAUCAGUCACUGGCAGAGCCGGGAACAAAUCCAGAUCUCUGGAGUCCCGGGGUGGUUCUCUGCCCCCUAGACCACGCUGCCUCUCAGUCAAUAAAUAUUUCAGCCUAAUUACCUGGCUUAAUUGUAACCGGGUAAAACCUGACUCCUAGGGACAAGCGUCACCCCCAGCUUCCAGCCACGAGAACUGAGUGGGACUGGGGCUUUGGUCAGGGAUUUCUGAUAAGUUGAGACUGAAACUUUUCAUGAGACAGGGUUUGUCUGGAUGAAACGUGUGUUGGGAAGGUUUCUCAGGUCCAGGGUGGAGUUCCUGGUAGAGGGGAGAGAGUGGGACCCCAGAGCAGCUCCUCUUCCCUAACCACAGGGUUCCUGGCUGCUCUGGGGCUGUUCUCUUUCCACGCACAUUCGAAGGGUCUCGGUUUCCUCCUCAUGGAGAAUGGGAAUGCGGGGGGUGGUGGUGGUGGUGGAAUGGGAAAGCUGGUUCCUGCCCCACUCCUGAGUUCUGAGACUCAGGACUUUGCUAUGGCAUCUCCUCCAACUUGCUGGGACUCCCCCUCCCCCUGCGUUGUUCCCUCUGGGACCCCGGCCCUGUCAGCGCGAGGGACCCUUCAUCCCGCUGCUCAGCUCAGAUGUGAGGGUCGCUGGGGACAACCAGGGCAGCAGCAUUGCAGCAUGGUGGGGCUAACCCCAGAGCUGUGACCUCAGCGGAGGCUCUGCUGAGCCGGGCCCAUGGGUGGGGCCAUGCUGAGCUAGCUGAAGCGGUUCUGGGGCUGUGACAGGGCUCUGAGCCAGUUCCCCUAGCCGGCCGACCAGCUGGGUGGGGACAGGACUGCUUGUUUAUUCCAGGCAAGAGCUCAAGGCCACCUUGGCUGCCUUUUCUCUCUGCCUCUCCCACUCCUGGCAUGAUAACAGCUCCCGGCGAAGGACAGUUUGCACAGUUAUCUGCAGUGGCUUCUCCUCAAUCUUUGCAUGGAGUCCCUGGCUGGGGCACUGCCAGGUGUGGGCUGAGCCUCGCUACCAGCUCCCAUCUGGCCCUUUGGUUUAACAGCUUUUCCCUCAAGGUGAGAACCAAGGUUUGCUUAAAGUAGGGGUGGGGCACAGGAGGGUCUCUCUCUCUCUCUCUCUCCUUCCCUCAACCCCUCCUUUCCUGGAUGGCUGGGAACCCCAAUCCCCUCUGCACCCCGACAAACCAAUCUCAAUACCUGAGCCCACCUUUGGGCAGCAGCGUGGCCUGAGGACAGGGGAGGGAGUUUGACUUCGGAUCCCAGCUCCACCACUGCUGAUGUGCUUGGCCCAGAUCUGCAGAAGUGUUGCAGCACCUAAAUCCUACUGGUUUCAAUGGGAGUUAGGUGCCUGGAAGCCUUUGGGGGUCUGAGACUUGGUUCCCAAGUGCCCUCUGAUGGUGGGUGCCUCUGUCUCUGUCUGUCCCAACUAGAGCAGUGGUUCUCAACUUGCGACCCGUGGGCCACUCGCAGCCCAAUCCGCGCACAGCUGUGGCCCCUGUGACAUCCUCAGGGCCACCCAGGGAGUGUGUAUGGGGUGUGGUUGUGUCCCACAUAGACAGCUGCCCAUGGGACCCACAACAGUAAAUAGGUUGAGAACCACUGAACUAGAAGCUCUUUGGGGGCUGGUGUUUGGAGGGGUGGGGCACCCGCAGCACUAGCUGGCUUCAGGGGCAGAUGCCCAGCACCACUGAAAAUUAGGCCCAAGGUGUGUCAGGAUGGGCACCCCAAACAAGGCUCCUCUUCCAUGCCUGCAGCUGCCCCAGUGCCCUCCUGAAAUGGGCUGUCUAUUGACCUCCCUCCCCAGGCUGUAACCAAGCUCCUGGGCAAGCGCCAGCGCUCUGAGGCACGGGUGCUGCUCUACAGGAGGACAGAGCAUGGGCACUGGCCAGCUGGCUUAGCAAGUCUGAGUCCUGCUCCACCAAGAUCGACUUCAGCCAGGGGUGGAGCGGGAAUCCUGCAUCGGGGCUAGAAACUGUCCUGGAACAUUUGGCCUUGCUGCUCAGCCUGAGAUGGCAGAAGUUCCUUGGCUUCAGCACGUGAACCUGUACCUGGCUGCUCAGUGCAAGGCCAGACUCCACCCUGGUGAGUUGGCACCAACUUCAGUGGGGUCUGGCCAGGGAUGGAUUCAGGCUGACCUGCCGGAAGUCAGGGUCCCGGUCGGUCCUGGGGUCUCUACAGGGGUUGGCGAAAAAGGAAGGAGCCUGUUGCAGGUCAGUCACGUGGCACCAACUACACCAGGCAAGCUGCUGAUCUCUCUCCAUCCACGUUCUCCAACCAUUCCCAUCGCUGUGGCAUCUGGCCAGAGGCUGAUUUCAAAUAGCUGAACUCUGGUACUGCAGGAGGCAUCUCGGCUGGAGAUCAAACUCGCAGUGUCCUUCUAGUGUCUUGUCUUGUGGCUGCAGUAAUUCACAGUUGGAUCUUUUGUCCUGAACUGAAUGAAGGGGACCUGGUCAGCUGAAAGGAUCGUUAUCAGCUUAAAAUAGUUGACUGGGACAAAUUUAUAACCCUUCAGGUUACUGAUUGAGCCUCCUUUAAGUAGCAUGUAUGGAAAUAUAUAUUGUUGGUGUAUUUUGUCCCCCUGCUGAUAUUUACAAAGGUUUCUCCAGCAGGGGCGAGUGGGUGAUCCCAAGAUCAAAGCCAUGCUUGGACCCCAGACAGCUCCCCCUUCUCUCAGUUGCAUCUUUGCUGCUGCUCUUACUGGCAAGCUCCCUCUUGCAAGGCCUGGGGGAAAGCAUGCAUGUGAACUUCCCCCAGCAAUGCCUGACAGGCUGAGAGUGGUGUCCUUGUGCUAAUCAAAUGCAUGAGACAAAUCGGCACUCCCAUGGGUACAACAAAUGGAAUUGAUUGACCACCGGCUGCUGUAAAAGAGAAAUAAAUCUCUCUUUUCUCUCUGUUUUCAAUUGCAGUGAUUGUCAGCAUUAUUUGUAACCAUUUCAGGUACAAUUCGUCAGGGGGAAAUAAAGGGUUAUUUCCCCAAG